GGUGGUGCUUCUACUUGGUGGGAAAGGUUGCAAGCUAGAAGGGAGAAAGAAGGCUAAGGUCCGGUUUAUACAUGGUUUAGAAUGAAGUACCUAUUGCAACAAGAACUCUUACUACCGGAUUAUAAGCAAAUUCUCUUCCAAAAGUACCGACAGUAUCAACAAGGAAGUCAUACAAUCCAUAAGUACCCUCCCGAGUUCAUGAGAUUAGCCGAAA
rnacentral:misc_RNA from 1 species